CAAGGGAGCUGCAGCAGACAACUGUAAUAAUAAUGAAGAUUCAAGUUUCCAACAUCGCUUUUCAGACACAUUUUCUGUUAAAGGAAAGCUUCAGGAUAUCACUAAACCUAUCCCCACAAAUAAGGAAGAGCUCAGCCUAACAGCAUAUAAAGCUGACAGUGGAAAACAUGCAAAGGGAGCUGUGCUGGAAACAGGGAAUAAUGAGGAUUCAAGUCCCCAGUCUUGCUUUUCAGACACACUUUGUGCUAAAGGCAAACUCCAGAAUCCCAGCAAACCUCUCACUAAGAGUAAAGAGGAUUGUGUAGCACCAUCCCCAUUGUCUGUUUCCAGCAGGAGUAGAGUACAGUCUUGGAAUAGAGAAUCUUAUUCCCCCAUGAAUGAGUCAGGACCAGCAUUCCUCAAACGAACUUACCACAGUACCACAGAAGGCAGCUCUGAUGAGGCAGAAACAAGCAAAGAGGAGGCAAAGAAAAGAAGAAGAAUAAAUUUACAGCCCAAAAAAUUAUUUAAAGCAGCUGAUGCUGCUUCUUGCAGAGUGUCUGAAAGUGUCUCCACCCAAUCUGUGAAUGACCCGUCUGGUUUGGAAUUCUGGAAGCCUGGUUGCUCAACCAUCAGCAUUUGUCAGCAGAUCCAGAAAGAAUUUACCAAGAAAAUUGAGGCAAGACCCUUCAUGUGCAACACUUGGGGAGUACCUGAGCACAUGGGGGACAGCUUGAUUUGCACCACACCAUUACAUUUUUUAAAGGGGUUUGUUGUGAUAUUAAGCAGUACUGAACAUAUUAGAGGUUGUUGUUUGGUUUUUUUUUUUUCCUAA
rnacentral:lncRNA from 1 species